rnacentral:lncRNA from 1 species
UCACAUUUCCAUUAAUUAGUUUAAAAUGAUUCCUAAUUUUGGAAUGUUUGAAUUGGGUUAUUCUAUCAUAAAACUUUCCUUCUUUAAUCCGAAUACCCAGAUCUACCACAAUAUCUUUUAAGUAUAAAGUUGCAAAAAUAUGCAAAAACAUCUUUUUUAUAUGUUCAAGAACAGGAGCUAAAUAUUUGAAGUCUUUAUUUUGCAUUUUGAGGCACAUGGAAGGUGUAAAAUAGGUAGCAUAGUCUUAAUGUUGUAGAUGACUGAUAUAUUUUAUUCCUUAAAAAUCUCAAACCUCCUUCCCAAGAGGGUCCUGGCCCUGCCCAGUUUUGAAGUGUGGCUCUUGACAUUUGGGCAUUUUACUUCAGACAUUAUUCCUUCAUUCCUUGCCUUUCCACAAUACAGCCAAGUUCUGGAAGAAUAAGGAUGAACAGGAAAACAUUACCUGCAGUUAUACACCUGCAAAUCUAUAUAUCUAUAGUUUGUAUAUAAGUUACCCAUAACCAAUUUACUCAAUUUAUUUCUCUGUUAUAAAAAUAUAGGUUAGAAAAAGAUUAAAAAAUGAGCCUAAUGUCUGCUGUACAGCCAUUACUGCAGAUGGCAGUAGGAUCGUUUUUGGAGUGAUGGUGGAUAACCUGAUUAAAAUUUGGGAUCCAUUUAAGCAUAAACACAAAUUAAUGCAAGGUUAUGAAGGUCUUGAUCUGACUGUGAAUAGCAAAUUGCACAUAUUAGAUGGAACAAAAGCAAUUCUACUUGCAGGUGAGGUCAGUUUCUGGGAUUUGGAGAGUGGCACAGUUAUAUCCAUCUUUACAUUUGAUAGCAAAAUAUCUUGCAUGACUGUUGCUUGUGACAAAAAGACAGUUCUUUUAGGCUUGAGCAACAGCUCUACUCUUACCACUUUGAAAAUGAUGAGCAUAAACACUGCUGAAAAUUCAAUAGGAAAAGAUUUGUUUGGAGAAGACUCAUCAAGCAGUGAAGAAGAACAUGAAAAUAUUUAAAAGAAAAUUUGAACAAAAUAAAAUCAAGCAUAAACAAAUGAAACUUGACA